ACGAGUUAGGGCCUCCGUGCCCGACCUCCAACCCUCUUGUAUCACAAAACCUCGUUGCCUCGGGGGUGGCCCUGCCUCGCGGCGGGCCCCCCGGAGGACCACUCAAACACUGCAUUUUAGUGUCGUCUGAGUUAGAUUUUAAAUGAAAUCA
rnacentral:misc_RNA from 1 species